rnacentral:rRNA from 1 species
AUGACUCUCGGCAACGGAUAUCUCGGCUCUCGCAUCGAUGAAGAACGUACCGAAAUGCGAUACUUGGUGUGAAUUGCAGAAUCCCGUGAACCAUCGAGUCUUUGAACGCAAGUUGCGCCCGAAGCCUUUUGGCCGAGGGCACGUUUGCCUGGGCGUC